AACGCUGGCGGCAUGCCUUACACAUGCAAGUCGAACGGCAGCACGGGUGCUUGCACCUGGUGGCGAGUGGCGAACGGGUGAGUAAUACAUCGGAACAUGUCCUGUAGUGGGGGAUAGCCCGGCGAAAGCCGGAUUAAUACCGCAUACGAUCUAGGGAUGAAAGCGGGGGACCUUCGGGCCUCGCGCUAUAGGGUUGGCCGAUGGCUGAUUAGCUAGUUGGUGGGGUAAAGGCCUACCAAGGCGACGAUCAGUAGCUGGUCUGAGAGGACGACCAGCCACACUGGGACUGAGACACGGCCCAGACUCCUACGGGAGGCAGCAGUGGGGAAUUUUGGACAAUGGGCGAAAGCCUGAUCCAGCAAUGCCGCGUGUGUGAAGAAGGCCUUCGGGUUGUAAAGCACUUUUGUCCGGAAAGAAAUCCUUGGCUCUAAUACAGUCGGGGGAUGACGGUACCGGAAGAAUAAGCACCGGCUAACUACGUGCCAGCAGCCGCGGUAAUACGUAGGGUGCAAGCGUUAAUCGGAAUUACUGGGCGUAAAGCGUGCGCAGGCGGUUUGCUAAGACCGAUGUGAAAUCCCCGGGCUCAACCUGGGAACUGCAUUGGUGACUGGCAGGCUAGAGUAUGGCAGANGGGGGUAGAAUUCCACGUGUAGCAGUGAAAUGCGUAGAGAUGUGGAGGAAUACCGAUGGCGA
rnacentral:rRNA from 1 species